UUUUUUUUUACUCUGAACCAUUAGCAAGCGAGCGAAGGACCGAGCGAGGGCGCUAAAGGGUUGGCCCAAGUGCGGCUAUUCGGUGCUUGACUGGGCCGGCCUGGUUGUUGGUUAGCCCGUUGCUUGAACGUCUCCAGGAUGAUUGCUUCCCGCAAAGUGCCAUCGCCACUCUGAGGCAAUCGGCCAUGGACCCAUGGUUGUUGUUCCCGUGCUUACAUGGGAUCAUACAAUUUUCUCAAAAUGAAAAAAAGAUGGGAUCAUACAACAUGAUGUUUGGAUCACAGCGACAGACCCACAACCAUAUCUAUGAACUGCCUUGUAGAAAACGGUUGAAUUCAGGCAUUCAACACUCAUAUGCGCAGCAUAUGAGAAAAUUGAGUUGGCCAAGAGUGGACCCGAGGCGAGACAGACUACCUCAGCUCAGUAGUGCGGACGAACGAUGCAAUACAAGGCAUAGGUUCGGCUCGGGCUUGUUGCAGGAUCAAGUCCAUCUCCAUUGACUCACGAGGCAGAAGAUUUAAGGCAUCAGCAAGCAGCAGGAAUUCAGAGCACUAACAUAACUACUUCGUACACAAGAUAGUCCACAGAGCAAAUCAUCAAGAAUUAACAAGCAGAGGUAAGACUAGACAUAUAUCAACCCAGCAAUCCAGGAUGCACAAAACCAGCACUGCUGGUCCAGCUGCAACAAGGCUCACAACUUCGAAUUACCAUGCUGUUCAUAAUCUGACCAUUAUAACCAUCUAAAGGACCAAGGUCCAAGAAGGUUCAAAAGUAGAUCCGAAAUUCCAAAAUACUGCAUGCGCAAAAGGCACAUUAAGAUAAAAGGAGGACAUCGGGCUCCCAAGAUAGCCACAGCCAGUAGGACAUAAGGAUUUCAAUCUUCAAGGUAUCGACAUACAUUUUGCUUGAGUCAUCAUCAACCAGCAUCGCCAAAACACCCCACAGCUAUCUCACCA
rnacentral:lncRNA from 1 species